ensembl:lncRNA
UUACAAUGAUGGAAAGUAUGAUGGCAGAGAUGAAGUGCCCACCUACUUUCUUCUUUUAAAAAAAAUCAAAACCCAAAGUGUUUUUUACACUUUGGCACCAGACGUAAAUGCUACAGGACAAACAUUGAGCUCUCAAGCAGAGGAGAUGGGAAGACCUCCAGGUUUGUUUGGAAGCAGCUGGAAGAAAUAGGUCCACCUGGAGAAUCGAUUUCAAACAUCGAGUCUUUCUGUAAUGGAACGUUUUUAAUGGGGAAGGCCGGAAUGCGAAGAGAAUCCAGCACUCUGUGGGAAAAGUCAAUAAGACCAGCAGACCUACAAAGACAGAAGACACUAAAAAAGCAUUGGGGGACGGCGUGAGACAAUGGGCUCGACGUCCUCCAGGCCGAGGCUGCGUAGAGUAGCUCCAAGCAACAGCCGGCAAGACGACGAGCCCCAAGCCGAACCGCGAUGGACGCUCCCCGCUCUGCCCGUCACGCCGGAGCAGCCAGCAGGACUUUUGGGACAGAGGAAGACGACGUUACCGCCACAGAGACAAGACAUGACCAUUUCCACCCCCUCCGGGCAGGGAUUGCAGAGGUGGGGGUGUCCACCUGUUUUCUACUAUCGUCCAGACAGGAGACUCUUGCUCGGAAAGAACGAUUCAGGGAGGACUCCUGGAGGCCCUGAAUCAACCGACGUGCCAUAGAGCAAAGACAUAAAGUGAUCUUCUCAGUUGGUGGUUUACCCUGUCGCGCACAAAUACUGAAGACCACCAGAGGCGGAGACCCACACGAGGGACAUCUUCUGGGACAACACCAAGGGAGAAAGUUUGGACCCCAAAAGUUCUGCCUCAACCCUUUGAACAGAGACGGUCCAACCAGCCGAGCAAACAGCACGAGUGUUGUGGGGAUCAGAUCAAGGUCUUCAAGAAACAAGAGAGGAAAGACGGUCUUCAGACAAAACACUUGACAGGGACAACUGAAAGGGAAGUAGUGAGAAAAGAAGACCGGGGUACACUUGGUUUUGGUGCCGGUCUGAGCGGCUGUCAGACAGCGUUAUUAAAAUAUUAAAAUGUGUUAAAGG